rnacentral:tRNA from 3 species
GUCCUUGUAGUAUAAACAUUACAUUGGUCUUGUAAACCAACAAUGAAGGAUCCAACCUCCCUAGGACC